AGUGAACGCUGGCGGUAGGCCUAACACAUGCAAGUCGAACGGCAGCACAGUAAGAGCUUGCUCUUACGGGUGGCGAGUGGCGGACGGGUGAGGAAUACAUCGGAAUCUACUUUUUCGUGGGGGAUAACGUAGGGAAACUUACGCUAAUACCGCAUACGACCUACGGGUGAAAGCAGGGGAUCUUCGGACCUUGCGCGAUUGAAUGAGCCGAUGUCGGAUUAGCUAGUUGGCGGGGUAAAGGCCCACCAAGGCGACGCUCCGUAGCUGGUCUGAGAGGAUGAUCAGCCACACUGGAACUGAGACACGGUCCAGACUCCGACGGGCGGCAGCAGUGGGGAAUAUUGGACGAUGGGCGCAAGCCUGAUCCAGCCAUACCGCGUGGAUGAAGAAGGCCUUCGGGUUGUAAAGCCCUUUUGUUGGGAAAGAAAAGCAGCAGGUUAAUACCCCGCUGUUCUGACGGUACCCAAAGAAUAAGCACCGGCUAACUUCGUG
rnacentral:rRNA from 1 species